AGAACCGACACAGGUGCCCCUCGCUGAAGAGGUGAAGGCGUGUCGGAUUUAAAUGUAGUUAAGGGAACUCGGCAAAUUAGCCCCGUAACUUCGGGAGAAGGGGUGCCUGCCUGGAGAUCAGGCAGGUCGCAGUGACCAGGGAGCUCUAACUGUCUAAUAACAACAUAGGUGACUGCAACUCGGAAACGACUAGUAUAGUCACUGAUUCCUGCCCAGUGCGAGUAUCUGAAAACCCAGUACAAUGGGACGAAGGACUCGUAAACGGCGGGGGUAACUAUGACCCUCUUAAGGUAGCGUAGUACCUUGUCGCUUAAUUGGCGACUUGCAUGAAUGGAUUAAUGAGAGCUCUACUGUCCCUAACACAAGCCCGUUGAACCUUUUGUCCUAGUGCAGAGACUAGGGACUCCUAUUGGGAAGUGAAGACCCCGUGGAGCUUUACUGCAGCCUGUCGCUGAAUUAUGGUAUUACAUGCGCAGUGUAGAUGGGAGGCGCUUGAUCCGUUCCUUUCGGGGGACGGGGAGCCAACAAUGAGACACCAUCCUUGUUUUACUGUAGUUCUCACUCUUACGAGGACAACGAUAGGUAGGCAGUUUGGGUGGGGCGCCACACCCUCGAAAAAAUAUCAAGGGUGCCCCAAGGUCAACUCAUGUGAGUCAGAAACUCACAGAAGAGUGUCAAGAGCAUAAGUUGGCCUGACGCGAUUAUGCAAAGCAAAUAAUCGCGAGAGGAAACUCGGGUCUAACGAACCAAUAUAGCCUUUUGGUGAGGCUUAUUGACUACAGAAAAGCUACCCCGGGGAUAACAGAGUCGUCGCCGGCAAGAGCACAUAUCGACCCGGCGGCUUGCUACCUCGAUGUCGGUUCUUUCCAUCCUGGCUGUGCAGCAGCAGCCAAGGGUGAGGUUGUUCGCCUAUUAAAGGGGAUCGUGAGCUGGGUUUAGACCGUCGUGAGACAGGUCGGUUACUAUCUAUCAGGAGUGUUUGGAGUCUGAGGGUAAGAAUGAAAUAGUACGAGAGGAACUUUCAUUCGGCGCCUCUAGUCGAUCGGUUGUCCGACAGGGCAGUGCCGAGCAGCCACGCGCCAAGGGAUAAAAGCUGAAAGCAUCUAAGCUUGAAACCCGGCCUAAAAAGAGACUCCGUUGAGGACAUGGGUAAAAGACCCGUUUGAUAGGCCUGGGAUGUACGCACGAAGGCAACGACGUGUUCAGUCCGCAGGUACUAACGUCCAAAUCCCCAGUGC
rnacentral:rRNA from 1 species